CCUACGGGCGGCAGCAGUGGGGAAUAUUGGACAAUGGGGGGAACCCUGAUCCAGCCAUGCCGCGUGUGUGAAGAAGGCCCUCGGGUUGUAAAGCACUUUCAGUGAGGAAGAACGCCUGGUGGUUAAUACCCAUCAGGAAAGACAUCACUCACAGAAGAAGCACCGGCUAACUCCGUGCCAGCAGCCGCGGUAAUACGGAGGGUGCGAGCGUUAAUCGGAAUUACUGGGCGUAAAGCGCGCGUAGGUGGCUUGAUAAGCCGGUUGUGAAAGCCCCGGGCUCAACCUGGGAACGGCAUCCGGAUCUGUCAAGCUAGAGUGCAGGAGAGGAAGGUAGAAUUCCCGGUGUAGCGGUGAAAUGCGUAGAGAUCGGGAGGAAUACCAGUGGCGAAGGCGGCCUUCUGGACUGACACUGACACUGAGGUGCGAAAGCGUGGGUAGCAAACAGGAUUAGAUACCCUUGUAGUC
rnacentral:rRNA from 1 species